GCUGGGAUAGAUCAGUCGGCAGAGCAUGAAACUUUUAAUCUCAGGGUUGUGGGUUCCAGCCCCACAUUGGGCA